rnacentral:rRNA from 1 species
UACCUGGUUGAUCCUGCCAGUAGUCAUAUGCUUGUCUCAAAGAUUAAGCCAUGCAUGUCCAAGUAUAAGCAACUGUACUGUGAAACUGCGAAUGGCUCAUUAAAUCAGUUAUCGUUUAUUUGAUAGUACCUUCUACCUGGAUAACCGUGGUAAUUCUAGAGCUAAUACAUGCUGAAAACCCCGACUUCGGGAGGGGUGUAUUUAUUAGAUUAAGAACCAAUGCCCUCCGGGGCUAACCGGUGAUUCAUAAUAACUUAACGAAUCGCAUGGCCUUGCGCCGGCGAUGGUUCAUUCAAAUUUCUGCCCUAUCAACUUUCGAUGGUAGAGUAGUGGUCUACCAUGGUGUCAACGGGUAACGGGGAAUUAGGGUUCGAUUCCGGAGAGGGAGCCUGAGAAACGGCUACCACAUCCAAGGAAGGCAGCAGGCGCGCAAAUUACCCAAUAGCGACACGCCGAGGUAGUGACAAUAAAUACUGAUCGGGGGCUCUUACGGGCCUCCGAAUCGGAAUGAGUACAAUUUAAAUCCCUUAACGAGGAACAAUUGGAGGGCAAGUCUGGUGCCAGCAGCCGCGGUAAUUCCAGCUCCAAUAGCGUAUAUUAAAGUUGUUGCAGUUAAAAAGCUCGUAGUUGAACCUUGGGCCUGGCUGAUCGGUCCGCCUCACCGCGUGCACUG